CAGUCGCCACGGGAAUACGGAGGGAGCUAGCGUUGUUCGGAAUUACUGGGCGUAAAGCGCGCGUAGGCGGUUACUCAAGUCAGAGGUGAAAGCCCAGGGCUCAACCUUGGAACUGCCUUUGAUACUGGGCAUCUUGAGUAUGGGAGAGGUGAGUGGAACUCCGAGUGUAGAGGUGAAAUUCGUAGAUAUUCGGAAGAACACCAGUGGCGAAAGCGGCUCACUGGACCAUUUCUGACGCUGAUGCACGAAAGCUAGGGGAGCAAACAGGAUUAGAUACCCCCGUAGUCCCUGUCUCUUAUAC
rnacentral:rRNA from 1 species